GGGGAAUAUUGCGCAAUGGACGAAAGUCUGACGCAGCGACGCCGCGUGGGGGAUGAAGCAUUUCGGUGUGUAAACCCCUGUUGCUCGGGACGAACAAGCCUUUUCGAGGGCUCUGACGGUACCGGGUGAGGAAGCACCGGCUAACUCUGUGCCAGCAGCCGCGGUAAUACAGAGGGUGCGAGCGUUGUCCGGAAUCACUGGGCGUAAAGGGCGCGUAGGCGGCCGAUCAAGUGUGUGGUGAAAGCCCGGGGCUCAACCCCGGGUCUGCCGUGCAAACUGGUUGGCUAGAGCACUGUAGAGGCAGGUGGAAUUUCGGGUGUAGCGGUGGAAUGCGUAGAGAUCCGAAAGAACACCGGUGGCGAAGGCGGCCUGCUGGGCAGUAGCUGACGCUGAGGCGCGACAGCGUGGGGAGCAAAC
rnacentral:rRNA from 1 species